CGUAACCACAGGGGGAGCGUUAAGCUGAGAGUGAACGCCAUGUUCUGACCCUUUGAACCUGUCCGGUUAAUGCCGGCGUAGGGAUGUGGAAUUUCUUUUGU
rfam:Bacillus coagulans 36D1, complete genome.